rnacentral:rRNA from 1 species
GACGAACGCUGGCGGCGUGCUUAACACAUGCAAGUCGAACGAGGGGCGAACGGGUGAGUAACAUGUGGGUAACCUGCCUGUUUCUUUGGGAUAACGCUCGGAAAUGAGUGCUAAUACUGGAUGGAAGGAGAUGGGCUCGCGGCUUAUCAGCUUGUUGGAGGGGUGAUGGCUUACCCAGGCUUUGCCGGGUGGCCGGCAUGAUAGGGUGGACGGUAACAUUGAGACUGAGAUACCGCCCAGAGUCCUACGCGAGGCGGAAGUGGGGAAUUUUGGACAAUGGCGGGUACAUUGAUGCAGCGUCGCCGCGUAAGGGAUUGAGGCCUUCGGGUUGUGAACCUCUUUCGCUCGUGUGCGUGUAGCGGGUAAAGAAGCGCCGGCUAACUACGUGCCAGCAGCCGCGGUAAUUC